rnacentral:lncRNA from 1 species
CCAAAACGAAUCAAAGUCCUUACAUAUUAUAAGGUAGUUAGGGUUUUGUACGCCAUCUUAGCUCAUGCAAUAUGCUCCUGCCAUCAUACAAGCCAAAUAUUAUAUACCCAAAUAUUCUAGUUACACAUACCUACUAGUUACUUUGUCAAUUCACAUGACACAUUUUGGACCGUUGAUGGGUACCCUCAACCAAUUGAUCUAAUGGUCCUAGGUUAAUAAAUCCUCUUUGCAAUACCAAGUUUAGGCAUGCACUUCUUUUACAAUUAGCAUAGCUUAGUCUAUUGCUUAAUUUUCAAGAAAAUAGAAAACGAUAAAAAGGUUUAUAUCUUCCUCAUGCAAGCUCUGCAGUUCACCUACCAAAGCAACAGCCAAAGUUCCAGAUAUAAUAAAGUAGAAUAAACGUUUUCUGGGAAUGAUAUAUAAGGAGGAGGGUUAAUCUUGUUAUGCUAUUUCUUUAUUUUCUUUGUUUGAGGAAGCCCCCUAAAGAAGAUAUAAAAUCUGUUUUUUUUUUUUUUCUUUUUCUUAAAGCUUCAUGUGCCAAGAGUGAUGCAGUUAACCAUAACUAUCAUUUGAAGUGUUUUUCUCUUUUGUUUCUUUCUUGGCAAACAGAGAUUUUGAAGCUACGAGGAGAUAUAUACCAUUAUUAGCCAGGU